rnacentral:misc_RNA from 1 species
GUCGAUGUCAUCAUCUGUCACUCUUCCAGUUCUCUUUACUCAGGCUCUCCUUUUCAAAGCGAUUCUUGGGUGUCGGUUCCGAGGAAUUGCUGUAACUAAAAGAGAAGAAGCCUGACAAGAUACUUGCUCGAUGGUUCGAGAUGUAUGGUUCGAGACAGUCGACCCUGCAACUGUGAUUGUUCUCAAGACUACCACAGUUCCCAAAUAGCUAGAGAUACAAUUCAAGGAGAGACACCA